CCUACGGGAGGCAGCAGUAAGGAAUAUUGGUCAAUGGAGGCAACUCUGAACCAGCCAUGCCGCGUGCAGGAUGACGGCCCUAUGGGUUGUAAACUGCUUUUAUACAAGAGAAAACCCUGGUACGUGUACCAGGUUGAUAGUAUUGUAAGAAUAAGCAUCGGCUAACUUCGUGCCAGCAGCCGCGGUAAGACGAAGGAUGCAAGCGUUAUCCGGAUUCAUUGGGUUUAAAGGGUGCGUAGGCGGACUGAUAAGUCAGUGGUGAAAUCUCUUUGCUUAACAAAGAAACUGCCAUUGAUACUGUCGGUCUAGAGUAUAGAUGACGUUGGCGGAAUAUGACAUGUAGUGGUGAAAUACUUAGAUAUGUCAUAGAACACCGAUUGCGAAGGCAGCUAACGAAACUAUAACUGACGCUGAGGCACGAAAGUGCGGGGAUCAAACAGGAUUAGAUACCCUGGUAGUCCGCACCGUAAACGAUGAUUACUCGUUGUUGGCGAUAUGACAGUCAGCGACCAAGACGAAAGCGAAUAAGUAAUACCACCGUGGGGAGUACCGGCCCGGCGAACGGUAGAAACGUACAAAGUAGAAGUUAGGACGG
rnacentral:rRNA from 1 species